rnacentral:tRNA from 1 species
GCUUUAGUGGUUCAGUGGUAGAAUUCUCACCGUCAAUGCAGGAGACCUGGGUUCGAUCUCCAGCCAAUGCA